rnacentral:lncRNA from 1 species
CGCUUCAACUCUGGGACGGUUGCCAUCUCUAUCAGUGAACAGACUCUGGAAUGUACCUGAGAAAUGAUAUGCAUGCAGAGAUUAGCUUUUCUUUUUCUCUUUUUUUUUUCAAUUUUUUUCAAUUCUUUUUUUUUUUGCGUAUUUUUUUUUUGAAAAUAAACAUGCUAUGAUGCAAAUGAUGCAGAUACGACUGGCUGGCUGCGCAUCUCAGAACGUAGGAUCGAAG